rnacentral:lncRNA from 1 species
AAAAUUUUUUUUUUGUUUGCUAUUUUCAUUUUCUUUUCUUUUAAAAUUAUUCUUUUUAACAGUGUAAUUCUAUACCUAUCUGUGUGGAUGCAUUCUGAAAAAAUCCAAAGGAAGGAGUGAAAGUUGAAAUGCAGCGAGAGAGGUUUACUUUCACUGUAGUGCAUCAGCCUGUGUCUCAGCUACUAUGAAUCCCUCCACACCUCACUAACCUUCUGAGAGCAUGCAAUAGACAGUGUGUGGAGCAGAAUUCAUAUGCCGCAUACAAGGAGGCUGGAGCACUGCAGCAGAAAUCAGAAGUAAAAAGGUUUAUUACAGAGCAACCAAUUGAAGAGCUGGUGUCUUAAAUGCACUAAC